rnacentral:rRNA from 1 species
AUUGAACGCUGGCGGCGUGCCUAACACAUGCAGGUCGAGCGGUAACAGGUGUAGCAAUACAUGCUGACGAGCGGCGAACGGGUGAGUAAUGCUUCGGAAUCUACCCAUGUAGUGGGGAAUAACCAGCCGAAAGGUUGGCUAAUACCGCAUACGACCUACGGGUGAAAGCAGGGGAUCGCAAGACCUUGCGCUAUUGGAUGAGCCGAAGUCGGAUUAGCUAGUUGGUGAGGUAACGGCUCACCAAGGCGACGAUCCGUAGCUGGUCUGAGAGGACGACCAGCCACACUGGGACUGAGACACGGCCCAGACUCCUACGGGAGGCAGCAGUGGGGAAUAUUGGACAAUGGGGGCAACCCUGAUCCAGCGACGCCGCGUGUGUGAAGAAGGCCUGCGGGUUGU